rnacentral:sRNA from 1 species
CGGGCCCUGAGCGGGGAGGCUGGUCCCAACCUUGCGUGGGCUUCGCGUGGGCCCGGCCUCGCCGCUGCGGUCGCCCGCCUGGCAUGGCCAACUGGGUGUUCUGUAAUCGCUGCUUCCAGCCGCCCCACAGGACGUCGUGCUUCAGCCUCACCAACUGCGGGCACGUGUACUGCGACGCCUGCCUCGGCAAAGGUAAAAAGAAUGAAUGCUUGAUUUGUAAAGCUCCUUGUCGUACAGUUUUACUUUCAAAGCAUACCGACGCAGAUAUCCAGGCGUUCUUCAUGAGCAUAGACAGUCUGUGUAAGAAGUACUCCAGGGAAACCUCCCAGGUGAGCUAUGAGGGGUGUGGCUUGGUUCUGUGAUGAGCCAGGUGCGCUAUCCUGAGACCAUGGAGC